AUUGAACGCUGGCGGCAGGCCUAACACAUGCAAGUCGAACGAGUGGCGGACGGGUGAGUAAUGUCUGGGAAACUGCCCGAUGGAGGGGGAUAACUACUGGAAACGGUAGCUAAUACCGCAUACCAUCGGAUGUGCCCAGAUGGGAUUAGCUUGUAGGUGGGGUAACGGCGCACCUAGGCGACGAUCCCUAGCUGGUCUGAGAGGAUGAACCGCCACGCUGGAACUGAGCCACGGUCCAGACGCCUACGGUAGGGAGCAGUGGGGAAUAUUGCACAAGGGGCGGAAGCCUGAUGCAGUCAUGCCGCGUGGAUGAAGAAGGCCUUCGGGUUGUAAAGUACUUUCAGCGGGGAGGCGUUACCCGCAGAAGAAGCACCGGCUAACGCCGUGCCAGCAGCCGCGGUAAUAC
rnacentral:rRNA from 1 species